UAGCGGCGAGCGAACGGGGAAGAGCUCGUAGCCGAAUCCGGUGCUUGGUGGCAUCGGAAAUGUGGCGUAUGGGAGGCGGUUCUCUCCGAGCGCGGCCUGCGGUGCAAGUCCCCGUGAAAGGGGCUGCUUCCCGUAGCGGGUGCUAGGCCCGUAACGCCGCCGGCCCGCGCGCGGAGUCGCCGUUCUCCCGGGAGUCGGGUUGCUUGGGAGUGCAGCCCAAAGUGGAUGGUAAACUCCACCUAAAGCUAAAUAAGACCGAGAGACCGAUAGCAAACAAGUACCAUGAGGGAAAGUUGAAAAGCACUUUGAAGAGAGAGUUCAAGAGUACGUGAAACCGUUCGGAGGUAAACGGGUGGGACCUCGAAGUCCGAUGGCGGUGGCGGAUUCAGUCGAGGACCCGGCGCAAGCCGCGUCGCACGCGGCCCCCGGACCGGGGUUGGCUGCUGGCGCGGUGAUCCGACCGGCGCCGGUANUCGGCGCAUUUCUGCACCCCGCCCUAAGGGCGUCGCGACGAGCUGGGGGGCUGCCGUAAGGGCGCACCGGAAGGUGGCCGCCUUUCCCUUCGGGGCUCGGCGGUGUUACAGGCGGUGCGGUCCCCGGCGGGCCUUCCGGCUGUGGUUUAUGAGAGCUCGUUCCUUUCCCUGGACCGGGAGCGGCCUCCGCGCUGGGCGCGCGCGGCGCGCGGCGACACCCCGACGGUGAGCCAUGCGUCCGCGCGUGUUCCGGUGGCGGGCACGGCUGCUGUGGAACUUGCGGUUGGCGGCGAGUAGGUCGGUUCCCCACCCGACCCGUCUUGAAACACGGACCAAGGAGUCCAAUGCGCGUGCGAGUUCCCGGGACUUGAACAGGCCCGAGGGCGCAAUGAAAGUGAGAGUUGGGAUCCGUCCCUCGAGGGGGGCGGCGCACCAACGGCCCGUCCCUAUACCGGUUUCGGUGGGGCGGAGCUAGAGCACGUGCCUUGGGACCCGAAAGAUGGUGAACUAUGCCUGGGCAGGAUGAAGCCAGAGGAAACUCUGGUGGAGGUCCGUAGCGAUUCUGACGUGCAAAUCGAUCGUC
rnacentral:rRNA from 1 species